rnacentral:tRNA from 1 species
ACUAUAGUUUUAUGUUUUUUAAAAGAACUGAGAUAUUUAAUCAAAAACUCUUGGGA